rnacentral:rRNA from 1 species
AUACAGGGGGUGCGAGCGUUAAUCGGAAUUACGGGGCGUAAAGAGUACGUAGGCGGUUGCUUAAGUCAGAUGUGAAAGCCCCGGGCUCAACCUGGGAACUGCAUUUGAAACUGAGUGACUAGAGUUUAAGAGAGGGGAGUAGAAUUCCGGGUGUAGCGGUGAAAUGCGUAGAGAUCCGGAGGAAUACCAGUGGCGAAGGCGGCUCCCUGGCUUAAAACUGACGCUGAGGUACGAAAGCGUGGGUAGCAAACAGGAUUAGAAACCCGAGUAGUCC